rnacentral:rRNA from 1 species
AUUGAACGCUGGCGGCAUGCCUUACACAUGCAAGUCGAACGGCAGCACGGGAGCAAUCCUGGUGGCGAGUGGCGAACGGGUGAGUAAUAUAUCGGAACGUGCCCAGUAGUGGGGGAUAACUGCUCGAAAGAGCAGCUAAUACCGCGUACGACCUGAGGGUGAAAGGGGGGGAUCGCAAGACCUCUCGCUAUUGGAGCGGCCGAUAUCAGAUUAGCUAGUUGGUGGGGUAAAGGCCUACCAAGGCAACGAUCUGUAGUUGGUCUGAGAGGACGACCAGCCAUACUGGGACUGAGACACGGCCCAGACUCCUACGGAGGCAGCAGUGGGGAAUUUUGGACAAUGGGCGCAAGCCUGAUCCAGCAAUGCCGCGUGCAGGAAGAAGGCCUUCGGGUUGUAAACUGCUUUUGUCAGGGAAGAAAUCCUCUAGGUUAAUACCCUUGGGGGGAUGACGGUACCUGAAGAAUAAGCACCGGCUAACUACGUGCCAGCCGCCGCCGUAAAAC